AUGUUUCACUCAGUGGUCCCAUCUAAUAAGGUGGUUUUCUCUUCUUUAAAUCUGCCUUUGGGGACUCUGAAAUGUAAGCUGUCGAGUAUGGAUGUGUGCAGGACUGAAGAGAAUCCUAGAAAGGCAACAAAUGCUGAAAUGUCUCUCCCAAAGCUGAGGAAAGAGAAUAACAAAGAAGGAGACUUCCAAAGAAAAGGAACAUUCUUACACGUAUUAUUUUGGAUUAACCAGUUGAACAUCCUCAAUGAUUAUUGCUCUGCAGCGCCCCCUGCUGGCAACAUACAUGAUCCAAUUUAUCUGUCCCUUCCCAGCUGCGCCUGUCAAGCCUGGUGCUUAAUCCCGGACGCACCAUGCCCCAGCCUAGCCACAAAUGACCUGCAAGUUCAGCAGAUCCUGGAACGGGGCUGCCUAACAUCUGCAGGGUAGCAACUCUUCCUUGUUUUCAGUGUGGAAAGAGAGCACCAGAGGAAUGCAUAAUUUUUAUGAGUCUUUAUUUUCCUCGUGUCUAGAACACAUAAGAAAAAAAGAGGUAAAGAGGUUUGAAACUGUUUGUGACUAAAAUGAUAAAAGGAAAUCAAUGCAGCAAAACAUAGACCACCUGAAAAUCUUCAGUUGAAGCACCAGUUGUGACAUGAUGUCAAAGAGGCAUUCUUCUCAGAGAGAAGGCAUAUUAAAUUAUGCUAGUGCUGACUGCUCUUCCAAGGACUGUUGAUAGAUGCUUAGGAGAGGAAAAUCUUCCUGUCUGGUUGACCUUAAAAGCUGUCUUACCCCAGGCCUUAAACAUUUAAACGUGAACAUAAAACAUUUUUUCAUUGAUCCCAGGAAAAAAAAUAUAUAUUUUCAACCUGUUCUCUUUAGUUGUUGCUUAUCAUCUGCCCAUGAAUAUAAAAAGAUAUAAGUGCGUGUACAGAGAUAGAUAUGUAGAUAAAUAUAUUAAUUUUCAACCAAAGAAUAAAUACAUUUAUCAUUCAGAAUGACA
ensembl:lncRNA